GCAUAUCAAUAAGCGGAGGAAAAGAAACCAACAGGGAUUGCCCCAGUAACGGCGAGUGAAGCGGCAACAGCUCAAAUUUGAAAUCUGGUCCCCCCGCGGGGCCCGAGUUGUAAUUUGAAGAGGAUGCUUCUGGCAAGGUGCCGUCCGAGUUCCCUGGAACGGGACGCCGCAGAGGGUGAGAGCCCCGUACGGUCGGACGCCGAGCCUCUGUGAAGCUCCUUCGACGAGUCGAGUAGUUUGGGAAUGCUGCUCAAAAUGGGAGGUAAACCCCUUCUAAAGCUAAAUACCGGCCAGAGACCGAUAGCGCACAAGUAGAGUGAUCGAAAGAUGAAAAGCACUUUGAAAAGAGAGUUAAAAAGCACGUGAAAUUGUUGAAAGGGAAGCGCUUGCGACCAGACUCGCGCCCGUCGGAUCAGCCGUCGCUCGUCGGCGGCGCACUCCGGCGGGCUCGGGCCAGCAUCAGUUCGCCUCGGGGGGAGAAAGGCGGCAGGAAUGUGGCUCUACGGAGUGUUAUAGCCUGCCGUACAAUACCCCCGGGCGGACUGAGGACCGCGCGUAUGCAAGGAUGCUGGCGUAAUGGUCGUCAGCGACCCGUCUUGAAACACGGACCAAGGAGUCGUCCUAAUAUGCGAGUGUACGGGUGUCAAACCCCUGCGCGUAAUGAAAGUGAACGGAGGUGAGAGCUUCGGCGCAUCAUCGACCGAUCCUGAUGUUCUCGGAUGGAUUUGAGUAAGAGCAUAUUGGGCCGGACCCGAAAGAAGGUGAACUAUGCCUGUGUAGGGUAAAGCCAGAGGAAACUCUGGUGGAGGCUCGCAGCGGUUCUGACGUGCAAAUCGAUCGUCAAACAUGGGCAUGGGGGCGAAAGACUAAUCGAACCUUCUAGUAGCUGGUUUCCGCCGAAG
rnacentral:rRNA from 1 species